GGUUAUGGCUCAGUGGUAAAGUGUUUGCCUCGCAUGCAUGGGACACUGGGUUCAGUCCUCAGCACCA
rnacentral:tRNA from 1 species